AUGGCAGACAUUGACAACAAAGAAGAGUCUGAUCUUGGACAAGAUUUGGGAAGAAAAGAAAAGAAACUGGUGAAGAGAAAAAAAUCAAAGCAGAUUUGUUCAGAUGAUGGAAAAUCCUCAGAUUCUUACAGGCUUUAGAGAAAGACUUGAUGGUUUGGUAGAAAGAUCAACAAGAUAUAUUGAAUGAUUGCCUAAGGUAGUUAAAGAUGAGUCAAUGCUCUCAAAAACCUGCAACUUAAAUGUGCACAGACAGAGGCCAAAUUCCAUGAGGAAGUUUAUGAUCCUGAAAGGAAGUAUGCUACUCCCUCUCAGCCUCUAUUUGAUACGUGAUUUGAUGUUAUUAAUGCAAUUUAUGAACUAUGGAAGAAAAAUGUGAAUUGAAAGGAGAUAAAGAAGACAAAAUUUCAGCUGAAAUUCAAAGCUGAAAGAAAGGCCAAGGUUGAUCAUGAAAAAAUGGAUGAAGAAAACAAAGACCCCAAAGGAAUUCCUAAAUUUUGGACUUGCUCAAUGAUAUAGUUCAGGAACAUGAUGAACCUAUUCUGAAGCACUUCAAAGAUGUUAAGGUGAAGUUCUCAGAUGCUGGCCAACCUAUGAGUUUUGUCUUAGAAUUUCACUUUGAACCCUGAAUAUUUCACAAAUGAAGUGUUGACAAAGACAUAUAGUAUGAAGUCAAAAUCAGAAGACUCUCAUCAUUUUUCUUUUGAUAGGCCAGAAAUUAUGGGUUCUACAGGGUGCCAGAUGGACUGGGAAAAAAGGAAUAAAAACCUUUAAGAAGCAGAAACACAAGGAAUGUGGGACAGUUUCUAAUGGGAAUAAAACAGUUUCUGAUGACUUUAAUUUUUUUCUGCCUGCCUGAAGUUCUGAGAAUGCAGUUCUGGAUGAUGCUGCUGAAGCUGUAUUUGCUGCAGACUGUGAAAAUGGUGUAUAAUCCCAAAAUCAGUGUUACACUUUACUGGAGCAAGUGUUGAAGAUGAUGAUGAUUAUGAUGAAGAAAGUGAAGAAAUGGAUGAUAAAGAGGAAACAAAAAGAGAUGAGAAAAAUUAUCCACCAAAGCAGGAUCAAAACCUCACAGAGAGCAAGCAUCAGUAA
rnacentral:lncRNA from 1 species